GCUUACGGCCAUACCAGCCUGAAAGCGCCCGAUCUCGUCAGAUCUCGGAAGCUAAGCAGCGUCGGGUCCUGGUUAGUACUUGGAUUGGAGACUGCCUGGGAAUACCCGGUGCUGUAAGCA
rnacentral:rRNA from 1 species